CUCGUAGUUGGAUCUCGGUGCCGGUCUGGCGGUCCGCCUCGCCGCGGUCUCACUGCCAGUCCCGGAGCCAUCCCGCCGGCCUUCCCUCGGUGCUCUUUACCGAGUGUCUUGGGUGACCGGAACGUUUACUUUGAACAAAUUAGAGUGCUCCAAGCAGGCGCGUCCCGCCCGCAUAGCCCAGCAUGGAAUAAUGGAAUAGGACCUCGGUUCUAUUUUGUUGGUUUUCGGAACCCGAGGUAAUGAUUAAUAGGGACAGACGGGGGCAUUCGUAUUGGGACGCUAGAGGUGAAAUUCUUGGACCGUCGCAAGACGAACUACUGCGAAAGCAUUUGCCAAGAAUGUUUUCAUUAAUCAAGAACGAAAGUUAUAGGUUCGAAAGCGAUCAAAUACCGCCCUAGUUCUAACCAUAAACGA
rnacentral:rRNA from 1 species